UUAAUAUUAUGUUCAACAAGUACACUUCUCGAAAUAUGCCUAGAGAAAGUGUUUAAUAGGGAAGUCAGUUUGAUUCUGACGCGGUCCCGCCACUGUAGUAGGAAAAUGCCUUGCACUGUGCGCAACACAGCCGCCUAGGAUACUCCUAAAGCCAGGAACCUGCUUGUUUCGAACCUUUAAC
rnacentral:ncRNA from 2 species